AUCUAGCUGAUGAGUACCAAAUAGGACAAAACGUACGUCUUGGAU
rnacentral:hammerhead_ribozyme from 1 species